rnacentral:rRNA from 1 species
UACGGGGGGGGUAAGCGUUGUUCGGAAUUACUGGGCGUAAAGGGCUCGUAGGCGGCCAACUAAGUCAGACGUGAAAUCCCUCAGCUUAACCGGGGAACUGCGUCUGAUACUGGAUGGCUUGAAUCCGGGAGAGGGAUGCGGAAUUCCAGGUGUAGCGGUGAAAUGCGUAGAUAUCUGGAGGAACACCGGUGGCGAAGGCGGCAUCCUGGACCGGCAUUGACGCUGAGGAGCGAAAGCCAGGGGAGCAAACGGG